rnacentral:lncRNA from 1 species
GUCGAACUUAUUCACCUUCUCUUGAAUGCAUGAAAUAAGUCAUCACGCUUACACAAUUACGUGCACAUAAUUAUGGAAGUAAUUAAUUGUAUAUAAAUCAUUCAACAAUUGCAUAACGUGUUUUGAUGUCAAAAUUGCAAAACUAAAAAUUAAAAAGUUACAUCACAAGGUUUAUCGAUCUACUAGUACAUUUAAACCUAGCCUAACAUAACGUCGAAAUUAAACAAAUAAGGGGGGAACGACAUCACCGAUAAUUUGAUGGAACGUGAUUAAUUUUCCAAUAUUUCGCAAAAUGAUAAAUUGAUUUUAAACGCGUGAAAAUUUGGAAUUCCUUUCUCCCGUGUUCGCCGUCCGUCUCGUGCCUCUGUCGUCACCUUCAAUUGCGGUGCGUAAUUCUGUCUCAUUUUCUUCAAUUUUCAGCCACCUGUUUCUGUAUUUUCUGUGCGUGUAAAUGUCUUGCUGCCCAUUUUUAUUUCCCAGAAACGCCGCCCAAUGUCUCUCUCCCCAGCUGUGGCUUCUAUGUGUGUGUAAUUUUUCCAACUUCCGUCAUCCCACAGCUGUGGCUUCUAUGUGUGUGUAAUUUUUCCAACUUCCGUCAUCCCACCGAUUUUAUUUUAAUUUUGUCCUCUCUCCAAAGCUGCCGUUUUUUCUGUC